UACGUAGGUGGCAAGCGUUGUCCGGAUUUACUGGGCGUAAAGGGCGUGCAGGCGGUCUGUUAAGUCUAGGGUGAAAGCUCCCGGCUCAACUGGGAGAGGUCCUUGGAUACUGGCGGACUUGAGGGAGGCAGAGGAAAGUGGAAUUCCCGGUGUAGUGGUGAUAUGCGUAGAUAUCGGGAGGAACACCAGUGGCGAAGGCGGCUUCCUGGCCUGUUCUUGACGCUGAGGCGCGAAAGCGUGGGGAGCAAACAGG
rnacentral:rRNA from 1 species